GACGAACGCUGGCGGCGUGCUUAACACAUGCCAGUCGAACGGAAAGGCCCUGCUUUUGUGGGGUGCUCGAGUGGCGAACGGGUGAGUAACACGUGAGUAACCUGCCCUUGACUUUGGGAUAACUUCAGGAAACUGGGGCUAAUACCGGAUAGGAGCUCCUUCUGCAUGGUGGGGGUUGGAAAGUUUCGGCGGUUGGGGAUGGACUCGCGGCUUAUCAGCUUGUUGGUGGGGUAGUGGCUUACCAAGGCUUUGACGGGUAGCCGGCCUGAGAGGGUGACAGGCCACAUUGGGACUGAGAUACGGCCCGGACUCCUACGGGAGGCAUCAGUGGGGAAUAUUGCACAAUGGGCGGAAGCCUGAUGCAGCAACGCCGCGUGCGGGAUGACGGCCUUCGGGUUGUAACCCGCUUUCGCCUGUGACGAAGCGUGAGUGACGGUAAUGGGUAAAGAAGCACCGGCUAACUACGUG
rnacentral:rRNA from 1 species